rnacentral:rRNA from 1 species
GACGAACGCUGGCGGCGUGCUUAACACAUGCAAGUCGAACGGAAAGGCGCGGCUCUUGCUGCUUUGUCGAUUGGCGAACGGGUGAGUAACACGCGAGUAACCUGCCCUUAACUUUGGGAUAACUUCAGGGAACUGGGGCUAAUACCCGAGAGGAUCUCCUGCUGCACGGGGGGCAUUGGAAAAUUUCGGCGGUUGGGGAUAGACUCGCUGGUUAUCAGCUUGUUUGUGGGGUAGUGGCUUACCAAGGGUUUGACGGGUAGCCGGCAUGAGAGGGUUGCCGGCGACAUUGGGCCUGAGAUACGGCGCAGAAUGCUACGGGAGGCAGCAGUCGGGAACAUUGCAGAAUGGGCGGAAGCCUGAUGCAACAACGUCGCGUGCGGGAUGACGGCCUUCGGGUUGUAAACCGCUUUCGCCUGUGACGAAGCGUGAGUGACGGUAAUGGGUAAAGAAGCACCGGCUAACUACGUG